rnacentral:tRNA from 1 species
UGUUUAUAUAAUUUAAUUAAAAUAAGAUAUUUUCAAUAUUUUUAUGAUAAUAUUAUAUUAUCUAUAAAUAU